rnacentral:rRNA from 1 species
UGGCGGACGGGUGAGUAAUGUCUGGGAAACUGCCCGAUGGAGGGGGAUAACUACUGGAAACGGUAGCUAAUACCGCAUAACGUCGCAAGACCAAAGCGGGGGACCUCCGGGCCUCGCGCCAUCAGAUGAACCCAUAUGGGAUUAGCUUGUAGGUAAGGUAACGGCUUACCUAGGCGACGAUCCCUAGCUGGUCUGAGAGGAUGACCAGCCACACUGGAACUGAGACACGGUCCAG